GACGAACGCUGGCGGCGUGCUUAAUACAUGCAAGUAGAACGGAAAGGCCCUGCUUGCCGUGUACUCGAGUGGCGAACGGGUGAGUAACACGUGGGGGAUCUGUCCUGCACUUCGGGAUAAGCCUGGUAAACUGGGUCUAUAACCGGACAGGAUCCAACAUUAGUGUGGAGGUUGGAAAGAUUGUUCGGUUUAGGUUAGGCUCGCGGCCUAUUGGCUUGUUGGUGGAGUAAUGGCCUGCCAAGGCGGCGACGGGUAGCCGGCCUGAGGGGGUGUACGGCCACAUUGGGCCUGAGAGACGGCCCAGACUCCUACGGGAGGCAGCAGUGGGGAAUAUUGCACAAUGGGCGCAAGCCUGUUGCAGCGGCGCCGCGUGGGUGAUGAAGUCCUUCGGGUUGUGAACUCGUUUCGCUAGGGACGAAGCUUUUUGUGACGGUACCUAGAUAAGAAGCACCGGCUAACUACGUG
rnacentral:rRNA from 1 species